AUGGAGUUCAGGGUAGUAUGGAUCCCCCAUGGUCAUUUUUGUGGUAUGCAGACCUCUCGACUUUCCUGUUGUGGUGCACGACUCACUCCACGUGCCAGUUUACAAGUGACUUGGAGCAGCAGCACAGCCCAAAGAGGUGUAACCACGGGUAAAUGCCAGGUACUGGUGGAGCACCCGGACCCUGGGCUGGAGGAGAAUCUGAUCCCUUGGGCAGCCACACAUCUGUUUUCUUUGGGACAGAUACCCAGCUACUUCCAUCCUUUGGCCUAGCAGCAGUCCCCCUGCCACUCUCCUGUUUCCAGGAAGCGCUUUUAGAGACAGAUGGUAUCAAAUGUUAUCUCAAAUUUAAUUUUUGGAUAAGUGCAUUAGAAGGGCAUGCAUCAUGAACAGGGAUUACUUUCAUUUAAAUGUAAAAAAAAAAUUUAAAAAAAAUUAAAAAAGUUUAAAAAUCCUAGAAGAACAUUCUGACAAUUCUCCCAGCAAAUUAUGACUUAAUAUUUUGAGUAAAUGAGGUGAUGAAAUUUAUGAAACAGACCUUUUAAAGGUAGGAAAUUAGGGACCUGCAUGAAUUUGUGUCACAGGCUCCAUUUUACAAGCUACAUUUUAUCAUUCACAGUACAAAAUGAAAGUAAAGAGCUCUGUUUCAUCAGUUACUCAUAUGCAGCUGCUAUGAAAAUAAUAUGUUUGAUAUAAUUCAUUUGACAUUUGAUGGGUUUAAGGUUCCUCUGACAAGAUAUAAUCAACUCAUUAUGGAGAAACAGAAACCUUCCAUGUUACAAAUGAAUUAUUCCUAGUCAUGAUUGAAUUACUGUGUAUUUAGUGAAAAUGGGAUGGAGGGGUUUCCAGUAGAAGUGGGUAUUUUAUCAUCAGGCCUGUGUGAUAAAAGCCAACUCAAGUCACUUUAUGUUUUUUCUCUUCAGUGCUCUGAUUAAUGAGUGGCAUCACUUUUUCAAACCAACAAAUUAGAUCUUUCCAUUUUUUUCACAUUAAAGCUGUUAGAUCAAAGUAUGAAAACUGUGUCUUUACUCUUUAUGCACAAAGCUGAGAUAAACAGCUUGAACAGAGUGUUCUUUUACUUUAUUUUGUUAGUUUAUUUUUAAAAAU
rnacentral:lncRNA from 1 species